GUGAGAGGAUAAAAUAAAGGAGGUCACCGCUGUAUGUGGUUUUCGAGAAAAUAGAAACGGAGAGCCUUUCGUAUUUCGCAACAUCGCGUCGUAACGAAUUCAGCAGGCGGUCGCUUGUUUUCGUCGGCCCGCCGCUAACUUGUUCACGGUUUAAGUCACGAAAUCUCGAACAGAACGACGACAUGCAUAAAAUCCGUCCUUCUUUCGACGUGACUCGAGCUGGAAGUAAGAACUUCCAGCGAACUGCUCCUAACCAGAAGAAGAAGAAGAAGAGGAAGGGGUUCAAGCUGUCCCGAGGAACGACCUGGUGUCUGCUGGAGAUUGCACGGUGAUCAUUGAAUAUGGUACCGCAUCAGAAACGCGUAAAAUCUG
rnacentral:misc_RNA from 1 species